GAUGAACGCUGGCGGCGUGCCUAAUACAUGCAAGUCGAGCGAACAGACGAGGAGCUUGCUCCUCUGACGUUAGCGGCGGACGGGUGAGUAACACGUGGAUAACCUACCUAUAAGACUGGGAUAACUUCGGGAAACCGGAGCUAAUACCGGAUAAUAUAUUGAACCGCAUGGUUCAAUAGUGAAAGACGGUUUUGCUGUCACUUAUAGAUGGAUCCGCGCCGCAUUAGCUAGUUGGUAAGGUAACGGCUUACCAAGGCGACGAUGCGUAGCCGACCUGGGAGGGUGAUCGGCCACCCUGGAACGGAGACACGGUCCAGACUCCUACGGGAGGCAGCAGUAGGGAAUCUUCCGCAAUGGGCGAAAGCCUGACGGAGCAACGCCGCGUGAGUGAUGAAGGUCUUCGGAUCGUAAAACUCUGUUAUUAGGGAAGAACAAAUGUGUAAGUAACUAUGCACGUCUUGACGGUACCUAAUCAGAAAGCCACGGCUAACUACGUG
rnacentral:rRNA from 1 species